GGGCGGGGUGGUCUAUCAAAAUGUCCUCAAACAAUCCGCGCCAAGGAUAUUGGCUGCACUCGGACCAGAACUCGCUAAGCAGUUCGUUGGAAAUUUUGCCGGGGUGCGAGGGGAAAGCUUAGCCGCCAUAACGCAGGCACAGCGAGAUGUGCUGUUGGAUGUAUACAACGUCGCCUUUAGCCGCGUAUGGAUCUUUUACGCUGCCAUUGGUGCCUUAGGUUGUGUAUUCAGCCUUUUCAUUAAGAAGAAGGAACUUAGUCGGGACCACGAAGUUACAAAAACUGGGCUGGAAGCGCAGGAGCACGCCAGACAGGCCCGGAUCAUGGCGAAGCGUGAGAGAAAGGAGAAGAAGCUGCAAGAGAAGGCAGAGAAUGAGAAUAUGAAUGGGAACGGGGUAAUGAAGGAGACUGUUUAGUUGGUGAUAUUUCUGCGCAUGGAUCCACGUCCUUAUCUGCCCCUCGAAUCGAAAUGUCAUCUGUGUUGUUGCUGUAUAUAGAUUUAUACCCCCCUUGAAUUUUUUCUCUGUCCCUCUCCAAAGUAGAAAACGAAUGUAGAGUUCGGUACUUUUAGCUGGUGUUUAAUUUUUUUCUGGG
rnacentral:sRNA from 1 species